UACGGGGGGAGCAAGCGUUGUUCGGAUUUACUGGGCGUAAAGGGCGCGUAGGCGGCGUGACAAGUCACUUGUGAAAUCUCCGGGCUUAACCCGGAGCGGCCAAGUGAUACUGUCGUGCUAGAGUGCGGAAGGGGCUACUGGAAUUCUCGGUGUAGCGGUGAAAUGCGUAGAUAUCGGGAGGAACACCAGUGGCGAAGGCGACUACCUGGCCCAUUCUUGACGCUGAGGCGCGAAAGCUAGGGGAGCGAACGGG
rnacentral:rRNA from 1 species